AAAUAAGCCGCGGGCAAGCCGCGCCCAAAAAUAAGCGCCCGAAGGUCGUGGUGCCAAAACCCCCCAGCGGAAAAAUGGCCAAAAAACGGGUGGGCUAUAGCCUUGGUGGGGGGCGCGGGCGAAGUUCGUCCGCCGGACUCGGAAUGGGGCGAGACUUUGCGCGGGGCCUCGGGGCGCCAAAAAUAAGCCGCGGGCAAAGCCGCGCCAAAAAAUAAGCGCCCGAAGGUCGUGGUGCCAAAACCCCCCAGCGGAAAAAUGGACAAAAAACGGGUGGGCUAUAGCCUUGGUGGGGGGCGCGGGCGAAGUUCGUCCGCCGGACUCGGAAUGGGGCGAGACUUUGCGAGGGUCCUCGGGGUGCCCGCGGGAAGUCGCGGGCACAGCCGCGUCCAAAAAUAAGCGCCCGAAGGUCGUGGUGCCAAAACCCCCCCGCGGAAAAAUGGCCAAAAAACGGGUGGGCUAUAGCCUUGGUGGGGGGCGCGGGCGAAGUUCGUCCGCCGGACUCGGAAUGGGGCGAGACUUUGCGAGGGGCCUCGGGGCGCCAAAAAUAAGCCGCCGGCAAAGCCGCGCCCAAAAAU
rnacentral:lncRNA from 1 species